AAGAAGCGACCACGCGAGUGUGAGCGAAUCUCAAAAAUAACGUCCCAGUUCGGAUUGUAGUCUGCAACCCGACUACAUGAAGCUGGAAUCGCUAGUAAUCGCGGAUCAGAAUGCCGCGGUGAAUACGUUCCCGGGUCUUGUACACACCGCCCGUCACACCAUGGGAGCCAGGAAUGCCCGAAGCCAGUGGCCUAACCGCAAGGGAGGAGCUGUCGAAGGCAGGCCCGGUAACUGGGGUGAAGUCGUAACAAGGUAUC
rnacentral:rRNA from 1 species